GUGUCAGCAGCCGCGGUAAUACCAGCACCCCGAGUGGUCGGGAUGAUUAUUGGGCCUAAAGCAUCCGUAGCCGGUGUAACAAGUCCUCCGUUAAAUCCACCUGCUUAACAGGUGGGCUGCGGAGGAUACUGUUACACUAGGAGGCGGGAGAGGCGAGGGGUAUUCCACGGGUAGGGGUAAAAUCCUCUGAUCAGUGGAGGACCACCAGUGGCGAAGGCGCCUCGCCAGAACGCGCUCGACGGUGAGGGAUGAAAGCUGGGGGAGCAAACCGGAGUAGCUCCCCGGGUAGUCCCAGCCGUAAACGAUGUAGGCUCGGUGAUGGACUGGCUCCGAGCCAGUCCAGUGCCGCAGGGAAGCCGUUAAGCCUACCGCCUGGGGAGUACGGCCGCAAGGCUGAAACUCAAGUGAAUUGACGGGG
rnacentral:rRNA from 1 species